rnacentral:rRNA from 1 species
GAUGAACGCUAGCUACAGGCUUAACACAUGCAAGUCGCGGGGCAGCAUGGGGGUUGCUUGCAAUCCCCGAUGGCGACCGGCGCACGGGUGAGUAACGCGUAUCCAACCUGCCCUUCACCACGGGAUAACCCGGCGAAAGUCGGACUAAUGCCGUAUGUUGUCCAUUGACGGCAUCCGAUUUGGACGAAAGGCUUGGCGGUGAGGGAGGGGGAUGCGUCCGAUUAGCCAGACGGCGGGGUAACGGCCCACCGUGGCUACGAUCGGUAGGGGUUCUGGGAGGAAGGUCCCCCACACUGGAACUGAGACACGGUCCAGACUCCUACGGGAGGCAGCAGUGAGGAAUAUUGGUCAAUGGGCGUAAGCCUGAACCAGCCAAGUAGCGUGCAGGAUGACGGCCCUAUGGGUUGUAAACUGCUUUUAUGCGGGGAUAAAGUGGCCCACGUGUGGGCUUUUGCAGGUACCGCAUGAAUAAGGACCGGCUAAUUCCGUG